rnacentral:rRNA from 1 species
AGUGAACGCUGGCGGUAGGCCUAACACAUGCAAGUCGAACGGCAGCACAGUAAGAGCUUGCGCUUACGGGUGGCGAGUGGCGGACGGGUGAGAAAUACAUCGGAAUCUACUUUUUCGUGCGGGAUAACGCAGGGAAACUUACGCUAAUACCGCAUACGACCUACGGGUGAAAGCAUGGGAUCUUCGGACCUUGCGCGAUUCAAUGAGCCGAUGUCGGAUUAGCUAGUUGGCGGGGUAAAGGCCCACCAAGGCGACGAUCCGUAGCUGGUCUGAGAGGAUGAUCAGCCACACUGGAACUGAGACACGGUCCAGACUCCUACGGGAGGCAGCAGUGGGGAAUAUUGGACAAUGGGCGCAAGCCUGAUCCAGCCAUACCGCGUGGGUGAAGAAGGUCUUCGGGUUGUAAAGCCCUUUUGUUGGGAAAGAAAAGCAGCAGGUUAAUACCUCGCUGUUCUGACGGUACCCAAAGAAUAAGCACCGGCUAACUUCGUG